rnacentral:sRNA from 1 species
GAAUCUUUCGAAUGGAAAAAUCCAUCCCCCCUGCAACAUAUAUUGUACAUUUUUUAACAUUCCAUUAAAAUGGAAAUCCAUAAAAAAGGGUUGAAUUGAUUGCCUACCAACAUAAGGGCUUACAAAACUUUAAAAAAUCGAGCAAAGGAAUACAAAUGACUUGACAAGGCAUCAUCAUCAUUGGCACUUCAUUAAUCAUACUGAGCAUAUGAUGCUGGAAUACCAACUUUUUGAAGGUGAAAAAUCUAUAGCAAUCAAAGAAUGACACGCUUCGAAGAAAUUAAAAAUAAAAAAAUCAUAAUACGUCAUUUCCAAUGGACAAAAUGUGAAUGAGAGCAGCAACAGGAUUUUACAGCAAAGGAUUUCUUAUGUAGACUUGCACUUUGUGUGAUUUAAGGUGCGCAGCCGCAGUAACAUAAUGAUCAAUUGUAAUUCUAAGCGGGUGAAAAAAGGCGGCAAACAGCUACAUGAGCCACUUACUAUCUGCAAAUCUUCAAGUCAAUAAACCAACAUCGACCAAAAAGGGGAAGGACUGAUGACUGAAGGAUUUCAAGCCUCAAUAUCAUCAUGGCAAAGAUUCAAGAUGACCAUAGAAACGACACCACAGCACUCUGCUAGUCUAAAGCCCAUCUUACACGCAGACAUUAUAACAGUGAUUGUAUUUAUUGUAAUUGCCCCAUGAAAGUCCCAAGCAAAAAGUCUCAACGUGAUGAAAUGCUGGAAGAUGGAAUAGCUGGAUGGCACUUCAUGCAGCUUAAGCAGGAAGGCUUUUUCAGGUUCCUAUUGAAGAUUUAAAUGUGAGUGGAGGAUUCGCGCUUUUAGCAGGGAGGAGCACCCUAUGCUGAGCUGAUGUUACCAACUUUAAUGCCAGCAAGAUAUUAUCAUCUAUGCCAUCACAUGUCAUUUAACAGUUUUUACUAUUCCACUUUUUUUUGUAGAUUAAA